GAUUAACGCUGGCGGCGUGCAUAACACAUUCAAGUCGAACGGAAUAUGGAAACAUAUUUAGUGGCGGACGGGUGAGUAACGCGUGAGCAAUCUACCUUCAGGUGAGGGAUAACAACCGGAAACAGUUGCUAAUACCUCAUGAUACAAGAGAGUCGCAUGGCACUCUUGUCAAAGGCUUGCUGCCUGAAGAUGAGCUUGCGUCCGAUUAGGUAGUUGGUGGGGUAACGGCCUACCAAGCCGACGAUCGGUAGCCGGACUGAGAGGUUGAACGGCCACAUUGGAACUGAGAUACGGUCCAG
rnacentral:rRNA from 1 species